rnacentral:lncRNA from 1 species
CGGCGAGCGAGUCCGAGAAGGUCAGAUCCGGCCGGUGGAGGCUCGGAUCUGGCCUGAGUGAGAGAGAUCCGAGCGGGUGAAGGGGCUGAGCGAGAGAGGAAUCGAGGGAGGGAAGGUCGGAUUCGAGGAGAAAGGAGGUGCCGUCGACGCUGCCCGACGCCAUCCCUGCGCCAAGCCGAAAGCUCCCGACCACCCCGACGCCGUCACUGCACCGGAUCGCCACUGCUUUCAACACCCCACCGUCGUUGCAGUCCU